ensembl:lncRNA
ACAGGUGUUGUGAUUGUUUCUUUACAGAAAAUGACCUCCACCUCCUUUGUACCACUCCCUUUCAUUGAAAAAUGUGUGAAUAAAUCCAGCCCAUUUGACCAACAGCUCAGUUUGUCAUUGGAGCUGCGACCUUCUUGUAGAGAUGCUCCGCCUCCUUCUGACCACAGGCCUUUUUCUGGCGCUUGUCAGUUUGGCUCUCUCCUUCCGCCUCGUGUGUUACUACAACAGAAAAGCAGCCGCCAGACUCUCCAUCGGCAGAUUCACUCCAGCGAAUGUCGCCCCAAAUCUGUGCACUCACCUCAUCUUCAGCUACGCCACCGUCGACGACAAGAACAACAACAUCAGGAGGCUGGUCCCCGUGGAUGAGUCGGACAUCGACCUCUACGGUGAACUCAACCGCCUGAAGAACAGGUCCAACCA